GCGCGACGCGGUGCAGGAACUGGCGCCGAUGGCCCUCGACAAGGGCCAGGACCUGGAGUUCGACGCCCCGGACGCGCC
rnacentral:tRNA from 1 species